rnacentral:rRNA from 1 species
AACGAACGCUGGCGGCAUGCCUAACACAUGCAAGUCGAACGAGGCCCUUCGGGGUUUAGUGGCGCACGGGUGCGUAACGCGUGGGAAUCUGCCCUUUGGUUCGGAAUAACAGCUGGAAACGGCUGCUAAUACCGGAUGAUGACGAGAGUCCAAAGAUUUAUCGCCAGAGGAUGAGCCCGCGUUGGAUUAGGUAGUUGGUGGGGUAAAGGCCUACCAAGCCGACGAUCCAUAGCUGGUCUGAGAGGAUGAUCAGCCACACUGGGACUGAGACACGGCCCAGACUCCUACGGGAGGCAGCAGUGGGGAAUAUUGGACAAUGGGCGCAAGCCUGAUCCAGCAAUGCCGCGUGAGUGAUGAAGGCCCUAGGGUUGUAAAGCUCUUUUACCCGGGAAGAUAAUGACUGUACCGGGAGAAUAAGCCCCGGC